GCCAGACCUGACUGCUAUCGGAUUGAUACUAAGCCAUGCGAGUCAUUGUAGCAAUACAAGGCAUACGGCUCAGUAACGCGUAGUCAACCUAACCUAUGGACGGGAAUAACCUCGGGAAACUGAGAAUAAUGCCCGAUAGAACAUUAUACCUGGAAUGGUUUAUGUUCCAAAUGAUUUAUCGCCGUAGGAUGGGACUGCGGCCUAUCAGUUUGUUGGUGAGGUAAUGGCCCACCAAGACUAUUACAGGUACGGGCUCUGAGAGGAGUAGCCCGGAGAUGGGUACUGAGACACGGACCCAGGCCCUAUGGGGCGCAGCAGGCGAGAAAACUUUGCAAUGUGCGAAAGCACGACAAGGUUAAUCCGAGUGAUUUCUGCUAAAGAAAUCUUUUGUUAGUCCUAGAAACACUAACGAAUAAGGGGUGGGCAAGUUCUGGUGUCAGCCGCCGCGGUAAAACCAGCACCUCAAGUGGUCAGGAUGAUUAUUGGGCCUAAAGCAUCCGUAGCCGGCUCUGUAAGUUUUCGGUUAAAUCUGUACGCUUAACGUACAGGCCGCCGGGAAUACUGCAAAGCUAGGGAGUGGGAGAAGUAGACGGUACUCGGUAGGAAGUGGUAAAAUGCUUUGAUCUAUCGAUGACCACCUGUGGCGAAGGCGGUCUACUAGAACACGUCCGACGGUGAGGGAUGAAAGCUGGGGGAGCAAACCGGAUUAGAUACCCGGGUAGUCCCAGCUGUAAACUAUGCAAACUCAGUGAUGCAUUGGCUUGUGGCCAAUGCAGUGCUGCAGGGAAGCCGUUAAGUUUGCCGCCUGGGAAGUACGUACGCAAGUAUGAAACUUAAAGGAAUUGGCGGGGGAGCACCACAAGGGGUGAAGCCUGCGGUUCAAUUGGAGUCAACGCCGGA
rnacentral:rRNA from 1 species